UUCUCUAGUCAGUGCAGUGCACUGUUCAGUCUUAGUUCCUGGUUUCUUGUACUUUUUGUAAUCCUGUGUUUGCUCCAUUCCAGACUGGCUUCUGCCUGCUCGUGUUACCCUGGAUUCCUGUUUUCUGUCUUCCUGAAAAUCCCCUACAGAACCCCUGUGUGAUCUACCCCUGGAUAUCUCUGGUUCAUACACAUCAGAUUUGGUUCCCUCACUCCUACACCUCUGUCACCUGCUUGCCGCCUCUGUUGCCAAACUACAAACUCUGGCCACCUCCAACGCCAACCUCACAAAGCUGUCGCCUUUCAGCUGUAGGAUUUCUGCCAUGCCACCGCUGGUCCAGCCACAGCCACCCGCAGCCGCCACAUCACCACCUCCCAGUGCACCAGUCUCCUCUGGAGACAUCCAGACCAGUCUGCCUCUUUGCCAGGAGGAAUCUACCUGUCCUGAGAUAUAAAGGAUAUUUCCGCGUUAUAGAAUAGUUCUGGUUUCCAGUUGUAGUUCUUGUAUCUUGUUCCUGCAUUGUAAAAUAAAGCUUUCUAAAUUG